rnacentral:rRNA from 1 species
UACGUAGGGGGCAAGCGUUGUCCGGAUUUAUUGGGCGUAAAGCGCUCGCAGGUGGUUCAUUGCGUCGUGCGUGAAAGACCCCGGCUCAACUGGGGAGGGUCGUGCGAAACGGGUGAACUAGAGGCCAGUAGGGGGAUGCGGAAUUCCGGGUGUAGUGGUGGAAUGCGUAGAUAUUCGCAGGAACACCAGUGGCGAAGGCGGCUUACUGGUCCAUUACUGACGCUGAGGUGCGAAAGCGUGGGGAGCAAACAGG